AAAAAAGAGAAAUAAUAUUUAUAUAAUUAAUUUGUAACAACUUUCUCGUAUAGUAAAAGUGCUCUCUUAGAAAUGGAGUGUCGAUAGAUUGAAAAUUUCUCCGUGUCUUUUUUAUGAAUGGACUUGGGAGCCGGGAAUAUGUUUGAAUAGAUAGCUGCUCUUGUGGUUGGUCAAGUUGUGUGGUGUUUUGUCUCCUAGGUGAAGUUGCAUCAUUGUUCUUUCUUGGGGAGGUGAUUGUUGCUCAUGUUCUGUGUUGCUUGGUGUGAGGUGCCCCUGUUUUAUUUUUCUGUCAUUCCUGUAGGGGUUUGGCGGCUGCUAUGCUGCUUUUUAUUUAACUUGUUGGUUGGUUUUGGAGUAUGUAGGCAGUGAUGGUGUUUUUAUGCCCUGCUGUGUUUUUUGUUUUGUUUGGCUCUGUCGCGCCAAUUUCUCGGUCUUUUUUUCGUAUUUGUAUUCCUUGUUCUCUCCUUUGGCAUAUCUUA
rnacentral:lncRNA from 1 species